ACUCGACAGUCCAGAGGCCAGACUGAGUGGGAGUUAGGGGAGCUUUAACUUGAUCCUGGUAGGGAGCCGGAUCAGCUGGAAGUGCUGCAGUACAGGUGCCUGGGGUGCCAGGUGGAUACAAUGAGGGGGCCUGAGCUAGUACUGGAAUCAUGAAAAGAUUCCUCCAAGAAGUGUGGUUAGGCCUGAGCUCUGGAUGAGGGAUAGGAAUUGUCUAGGCAAAGGGACAGGGCUGGAGAUAUAUCUGGUAGAGGGGACAGCAUCUGUGAAGGCCUGAAAUGGGGAACCGGAGCUUGCAGCAUUGGAAGUCAGAAACUUCAGAGAGGAUGCUGAGCCAAUGGUCACGGGAGCAAAACCAUGUGAAAGGUCACUGAGGAAGUUCCAGUGUGGAUGCCUGGAAGAUACAAGAGAACAACUCCCAGAGAUUUGGAAAUACGGAGGAGGAGAGGUUUAAAAGGGCUGGUGUGGAAAUAUUAUAAGAGGGUAAACUGAAGACCCCAGAAGCUUGGCAGAU
rnacentral:lncRNA from 1 species